AUACGGAGGGUGCAAGCGUUAUCCGGAUUCAUUGGGUUUAAAGGGUGCGCAGGCGGAUAUUUAAGUCAGUGGUGAAAUCCCGGGGCUCAACCUCGGAACUGCCAUUGAUACUGAAUAUCUGGAAUACGAUUGAAGUGGGCGGAAUGUAGCAUGUAGCGGUGAAAUGCAUAGAGAUGCUACAGAACACCGAUCGCGAAGGCAGCUCACUAAGCCGAUAUUGACGCUCAGGCACGAAAGCGUGGGGAGCGAACAGAAUUAGAUACCCUAGUAGUCC
rnacentral:rRNA from 1 species